UCUGACACCUGGCCAGGUGGAAAUUCCCGGAGUGAGGGCUCUAAGGCUGAGCCAAACACCUGACUCUUGCAUCGUCUCAUUUGCUCUGAUGUAAGGCAUAUAUAGGUAGCUGAGCAUUGAACAUGGUCUUCCCAAUCUGAUCAGCAAGCACAUCUUGCCAGCUGAUAGCACUUAGCCCUCUUCCUUCCUGACCCCCAACUGUCUACGUAGUCUGUGUAGAGCCCAAGUCCUCCCUAAGGACUGAGGAAUUGCAGCUCUCUCUCUGACAACCACUACUUGUGAGAGAAAUAACAUUGUUCGUUCAGACUUGACAAGAGAGAGAUGGGAAUACAUUGUAUGUCGGUGGAAGAAGACAUAUGGUUGUGAAGGGCCAUCACGUGGGAUCUAGCAAGUAAGCAGACAUGAAGCAGAGGUGGACACAAAAGCCGAUGUCUGGAGUAGGCCAGAGGUCCAUUCACCUGCUGCAGCUUGUAUUCCUGGCUCUGGGAGCGGCUGUUUCUGAAGACUAUCAUGCACAGUCAAGGCUGGGGAAAUUUCUCCGUGUCAGCCUGGUGAGGGACAGCCCUGCAGCCUGAGGAGACCAGCUUUCAGGAGGAAAAAUGCACUGUAAGACAUCUAAGACAACAGUUACCUACCCAGAAAAACAGCUGAUGCUGUCACACCUGUGUAACAUGCCAGCCAAAACAAGGAGGGGCAAGUGCCCUGUGUCCGGUGACACCAGGCGCGGAUGUCCCUUUGGACCUGUGGGCAAGAGGUGCGCUGACCAAAAGGACGCCUGUGUGGCCAUGAGCUUGUUCUGCUGCAGCUAAUUUAUAAGUGCUGGCAACCCAUACUCUUAGAAGAAGGGCUUUGUGGGCUCUCAGAUGACUGUAAUAUUCUUUGUGGCUGAAAAUCACAUUUAUAGGAGUUAAUUUUCUUAAAUGAGUGCCCAGUAUGAGUUCAUUUGUGUCUCAUAGCAGAAGGAGAUUCAAGUACAACACAGUAAGAGGAUUAAUCACUGCUGCUGCCCUCUUGGUUUUUCACUAAGUGAAGCACAACCAGGGAACCGGACGUGUAGGAGCUGUCACUUAUGCACAAUUUUUGCUGAAGUAUAAUAAAAGUGGUAUGACAGCUUACAGUAUGUAUCACAGGGAUAGCACUAUUUUGUUAAAGACAAGAAAUUCUUGAUUUCGUUUAUCACAGUAUUUCAGGUGUGUCUCAGUCUUCCUCCGUCCUUGUCAUCCUCUCGAUUUGCUGACUCCAUUUAGUUUCAUCACCAAAUUUGAAGAGACUUGUACUUUCAUGUCACUCUCGGGUACUUCUGAAGACUGUAAGAGCUUUCUUUCUGAGUUUUCAGUUCAUUGAGCUGCAGAUAGAUGUUCUUUCUCAUCUAAAACUCAUCACUUCCUUACCAUUGGAGAAAAAAACACAUUUAGGAAAUUAGUUUGUGGCUUCCUUCAAUUUGUUCCACAUACAGCUGCUCAUCAACAGUACACCAGCAAGGAACUGGCACACAGCUACAAGUGUGUAUUCAAAUUAAAAAUGUAUUCUGCACUUAUGCUUGCGUUGUGCGAUGAUUAUGGAAGAAAAUAUUUUUAUCAAACAGCCAGUAGCAUGUGAGCACCAGGAAAGCUGUUGCCACCUUUGAAUUUCUUUGUGGGAGAGCACCCAUGGAGAGGAGCAGGGGCAGCCAG